UGGUGAGAGUGGGUUUAAUUACUGAGGACUCGGUGUCCAGCAGCCAGAGAGGAGCUGAGGGCUGAGCUGCAGCCACAGCCUCCUGCCCAGCCAGACAGGCUCUUCGUGCACUGUUGCCCCUGUGGCCCUUCCUGCACCGGGCCCUGAUGCAGCUCUGGAUGGACGGGCGCAUCAGAGGCCACCUGGCAGCACAGUUGUUAGGGCAUCCCCUUCCCUGUUUUAUUUUCUAGUCUUCCCCAGCUCCUCAGGAGGUGUCGGAGCAGCCCGCCAGCCCAGCUUCUCCCCUCAGCAGCCGCCAGAGCUUCUGUGUGCAGGAGGUGCCAACCGCAUCCCAGGGCCUGCUCAAGCUCUUCCAGAAAAACUCGCCCAUGGAGGACCUUGGAGCCAAGGGGGCCAAGGAGAAGAUGAAAGAGGAAUCAUGGCACAUCCAUUUCUUCGAGUAUGGGCGUGGCGUGUGCAUGUACCGCACAGCCAAGACACGGGCACUGGUCCUGAAGGGCAUCCCUGAGAGCCUCCGGGGAGAGCUGUGGCUCCUCUUCUCCGG
rnacentral:sRNA from 1 species